rnacentral:tRNA from 1 species
AAUUAAGAAGUUAGAUACAAUAAAUUGCAAAUUUAUUAAAAAGCUUAAUUU